AUUGAACGCUGGCGGCAGGCCUAACACAUGCAAGUCGAGCGGAUGAAGGGAGCUUGCUCCUGGAUUCAGCGGCGGACGGGUGAGUAAUGCCUAGGAAUCUGCCUGGUAGUGGGGGAUAACGUCCGGAAACGGGCGCUAAUACCGCAUACGUCCUGAGGGAGAAAGUGGGGGAUCUUCGGACCUCACACUAUCAGAUGAGCCUAGGUCGGAUUAGCUAGUUGGUGGGGUAAAGGCCUACCAAGGCUACGAUCCGUAACUGGUCUGAGAGGAUGAUCAGUCACACUGGAACUGAGACACGGUCCAGACUCCUACGGGAGGCAGCAGUGGGGAAUAUUGGACAAUGGGCGAAAGCCUGAUCCAGCCAUGCCGCGUGUGUGAAGAAGGUCUUCGGAUUGUAAAGCACUUUAAGUUGGGAGGAAGGGCAGUAAGUUAAUACCUUGCUGUUUUGACGUUACCAACAGAAUAAGCACCGGCUAACUUCGUG
rnacentral:rRNA from 1 species